rnacentral:lncRNA from 1 species
GACAAAGAAUGGAUUGAAACUCCGUCACCACGAAAUAGUUAAAAAGGAGUGUUUUGGUACCGAGGAAAACGUUUUUCAAUUUUCUUAUAUUUGGUUAGUUCAAAUAUUUGAAAACCUUUUUCUCGAGAAAAAUAAGUUACUUAAAAAUAAAGAAAAUGAUUUUUCUAAUGAAAGUAAGGAAAAUAAGUUUCAUAAGUGACAUUUCAAGUUCAUUGUCUCCUUCUCACCUACUCAAUGCCCCUACAGCCCUACCCUCACCUCUGGACUAUCC